rnacentral:rRNA from 1 species
CCCUUAGAUGUUCUGGGCCGCACGCGCGCUACACUGAUGCAUUCAACGAGUCCAACCUUGACCGAGAGGUCCGGGUAAUCUUUGAAACUGCAUCGUGAUGGGGCUAGAUUAUUGCAAUUAUUAAUCUUCAACGAGGAAUGCCUAGUAAGCGUGAUUCAUCAAAUCGCGUUGAUUACGUCCCUGCCCUUUGUACACACCGCCCGUCGCCCCUACCGAUUGAGUGUGUUGGUGAGGAGUUUGGAUUGGCCUCGGAAGGUGGUUCGCCACCGUCCGUAGCUGAGAAGUUCUCCAAACCGCCCCACUUAGAGGAAGGAGAAGUCGUAACA